rnacentral:rRNA from 1 species
UACGGGGGGGGCAAGCGUUGUUCGGAAUUACUGGGCGUAAAGGGCUCGUAGGCGGCCAACUAAGUCAUACGUGAAAUCCCUCGGCUCAACCGAGGAACUGCGUCUGAUACUGGAAGGCUUGAAUCCGGGAGAGGGAUGUGGAAUUCCAGGUGUAGCGGUGAAAUGCGUAGAUAUCUGGAGGAACACCGGUGGCGAAGGCGGCAUCCUGGACCGGUACUGACGCUGAGGUGCGAAAGCGUGGGGAGCAAACAGG